GGCUCCUAAGCAACCUUGGCUUGUCUGCCAUGUCCACCAUAUUGCUGUCAUGAGUUCUUGACCCGGGAACUCUGACUCCCUUGAGAUAGAAAAUCUGUUCCCUUGUUGAUUGGGAUGCAGGUCCAUUGGUUCAAUGACAUCAGUGCCAAGAUCUCAGUGGCCUUCUUGGCCUUUCUUCAUGACCAGAGGAUGCUGCUCUAACUUCACCCAUCUCAACCAAGCACAGUGCUUGAAAUCGCCCAACCUCCUGUCGCUUUGUUGAAGAAGUCUCCCCAGAUUCUCCAAUCAGACGUCCACAGGGAGAGACCAAGGCCGGGCUCAUCUCUCUCCUGAGCAUCCAGUGUCUUUUCCAAGCGCUCUUGCCAUCCUCUUCCUUGGGUCAAGCCCCCUACUGGACUCUCAGCUCUCAGAGAGUGGGGACCAAGUCUAGCUCAGCUCGGCGUCUUCUUGGCACCUAGCCCAUGGCCUGGCCCAUUGCGGGCCCUUGCUCUUUAAACAGGAGCCUCUUGUUGGAGCUCCUGAAAGGAAUCCACAGACCCAGAGGGAUUCUGGAUACUUUCUCUCUCCUAGUGUUGUGAGGCAACUUGCAAAGAUCCAUCAAAUACAAGAGAAGAAAAGAGAGAAAGGAAUCAGAGCAGAGCUGGCUGGCAGAAUAACGUGCCCAAAUCUGUAUCAACAGGCGAGAAUUCUGUCUCUAAGCUUCUCAGGAGUCAAAGCAAAGAGAUAUGAGUCCCAGCAUCCCAAAGGUCUGACCUCUCUCUGGUGACUCGCGGCUGAGAAGGAAACGAUCCCCUGCACUGAGUGAACGGCCUUGCGAACCGAGUACACAGAGUGGCACUGAGUGGCACUGAGUACCCACGGCCUUGGAAUUCUCUCUCCCAGUUAGCGCGUUGCCAUUGCGGGAGUGUCUUCUAGAAACAAAACUUCAUCCACAGACAUAAUGUUUUUGCAAGUUCGAGUCAGAUUUGAAGCGGCUUGACAAAUAUCACUUAAGGAAAGAAAAUACUCCAUCCGUGGACCUCUAAGGACAGAGAAAUUUUUCAAAGCAGAUCCUAACUCUGCGGUGGAUUUUACUAGGCUUUUUUCCAAACUAGCCUACUAAAUCAGUGUUAUUAUUUUUUGGUGAAAAAAGG
rnacentral:lncRNA from 1 species